AAACAUGACUUUGAUCUGCGUCCUCAUCUGGACUCUCCUCUGCUGCUGCUUCACAGAGUCCAGAGGACAGAUCACAGUGACUCAGCCUGGAGCAGUGAGCUCUGCUGUGGGAAGAACUGUGAGCAUCAAGUGUAGGACCAGUCAGGAUGUUCUUGGCUCCACACAUUUAGCCUGGUACCAACAGAAAGAUGGAGGAGUUCCUAAACUCCUCAUUUACUAUGCUAGCAGUCGAUAUUCAGGGAUUCCAGCUCGUUUUACAGGCAGUGGAUCAAACACUGACUUCACUCUGACCAUCAGUGGAGUCCAGGCUGAAGAUGCAGCAGUUUAUUACUGUCAGAGUGUUCACUAUACCAGUCGGUAUGAGUUCACACAGUGA